rnacentral:rRNA from 1 species
GACGAACGCUGGCGGCGUGCUUAACACAUGCAAGUCGAGCGGUAAGGCACCUUCGGGUGCACACGAGCGGCGAACGGGUGAGUAACACGUGAGUAAUCUGCCCUUCACUUCGGGAUAACCGCCGGAAACGGUGGCUAAUACCGGAUACGACCCACCCUCGCAUGAGGUGUGGGUGGAAAGUUUUAUCGGUGGGGGAUGUGCUCGCGGCCUAUCAGCUUGUUGGUGGGGUAACGGCCUACCAAGGCUUCGACGGGUAGCCGGCCUGAGAGGGUGACCGGCCACACGGGGGCCGAGACACGGCCCAGACUCAUACGGGGGGCAGCAGUGGGGAAUAUUGGACAAUGGGCGAAAGCCUGAUCCAGCCACGCCGCGUGAGGGAUGACGGCCUUCGGGUUGUAAACCUCUUUCAGUACCGACGAAGCGCCAAUAACGGUGGUGACGGUAGGUACAGAAGAAGGACCGGCCAACUACGUGCCAGCCGCCGCAGUAAAAC